AUUGAACGCUGGCGGCAGGCCUAACACAUGCAAGUCGAGCGAGCGGCGGACGGGUGAGUAAUGUAUGGGGAUCUGCCUGAUGGCGGGGGAUAACUACUGGAAACGGUAGCUAAUACCGCAUACCAUCAGAUGUGCCCAUAUGGGAUUAGCUAGUAGGUAAGGUAACGGCUUACCUAGGCGACGAUCCCUAGCUGGUCUGAGAGGAUGAUCAGCCACACUGGAACUGAGACACGGCCCAGACUCCUACGGGAGGCAGCAGUGGGGAAUAUUGCACAAUGGGCGCAAGCCUGAUGCAGCCAUGCCGCGUGUAUGAAGAAGGCCUUCGGGUUGUAAAGCACUUUCAGCCGGGAGGCGUUACCGACAGAAGAAGCACCGGCUAACUCCGUGCCAGCCGCCGCGGUAAUAC
rnacentral:rRNA from 1 species